UACGGAGGGUGCAAGCGUUGUUCGGAAUUACUGGGCGUAAAGCGCGCGUAGGCGGCUUUUUAAGUCAGAUGUGAAAGUCCACGGCUCAACCGUGGAAGUGCAUUUGAUACUGAAAAGCUUGAGUACUGGAGGGGAUGGUGGAAUUCCCGGUGUAGAGGUGAAAUUCGUAGAUAUCGGGAGGAAUACCGGUGGCGAAGGCGACCAUCUGGCCAGAUACUGACGCUGAGGUGCGAAAGCGUGGGGAGCAAACAGG
rnacentral:rRNA from 1 species